GUUCGCAAAGCUUGUAGUCAUCGCAGGCUUCCCGACUGAUCUCGUAGGCGGGCUUGCUGCGUUCUCGGACCCUAGAAAGGGGAAGAAAGACAGGCCAACAUUGAGAAGCAUAAAAAGAACGGAAAAGAGCAAAGAAGAGAAGAAAGUGAAGGCCCAAGGAGAUACUGGAGAGAGUCCUUCCUGCCAAUAUCAAGGUUCCUGCUUACAUCUUCCUCCACGGAACCAACUAAGUAAUUGGGAUGGAAGGACAGGAUGAAUCCUAAGGAGGACCAAGGACUUGGCAUGAACACCAACCCCAAUAGCUUCAUGGGAUCAGGGCUGAGUCAUCCAGAGGGACCAGAAACAGACACAAUUUGAAAAGCAAGUUCAAAUUAUUAUCAAAGAAGGAACCAAGGGGUAGAACCAGAGGAACAGUAGUAAUGUUGGAUCUUAGGGUAGAGGGUAAGGCUACAGAUGGAAAAUUCGGUGGAAAGUCAAGAAGUGAGAUCAGCAAUAGGUCUCUGAGCCCAGCACAUGGAUACCAGAAAUGGGAAAAAAUUAUCAAAGGUAGCUGUGAAUAAGCAAGGGUAUCUAGAGUUUCUUCCGGUGGGGCUGGGAAGGUAGAGGGUGAUGUGUAAAGGUACAGGACUAUCUCAGACAUGUGGUCUUUUGCUUCACAUCACUGUGCUCCUUCAAAAUGCUGGCCUUUCCAUUUCACCACCUGAAUCAUCUCUAUUUUCUGUGGACCAGCUUGAGCCCUAUUUUUGAGUGGCCACUGGUAA